rnacentral:rRNA from 1 species
AAUGAACGCUGGCGGCGUGCCUAACACAUGCAAGUCGAGCGAGAAAGUCCCCUUCGGGGGGCGAGUAAAGCGGCGCACGGGUGAGUAACGCGUGGGUAACCUGCCCUAGAGUGGGGGAUAACCAGCCGAAAGGCUGACUAAUCCCGCAUACGACCGGCAGACACAAGUCUGCUGGGGAAAGAUGGCCUCUGCUUGCAAGCUAUCGCUCUUGGAUGGGCCUGCGUUGGAUUAGCUAGUUGGUGAGGUAAUGGCUCACCAAGGCUGCGAUCCAUAGCUGGUUUGAGAGGACGACCAGCCACACUGGAACUGAGACACGGUCCAGACUCCUACGGGAGGCAGCAGUGAGGAAUAUUGCGCAAUGGGGGAAACCCUGACGCAGCGACGCCGUGUGAGCGAUGAAGGCCUUCGGGUCGUAAAGCUCUGUCAGAGGGAAAGAAAGGGCCGGAGGAAUAAUACCCUUCGGCAUUGACGGUACCCUCAGAGGAAGCACCGGCUAACUCCGUG